rnacentral:rRNA from 1 species
GAAUUUUGGUCAAUGGGCGAAAGCCUGAUCCAGCAAUGCCGCGUGCAGGAUGAAGGCCUUCGGGUUGUAAACUGCUUUUGUACGGAACGAAAAGCUUUGGGUUAAUACCCUGGAGUCAUUACGGUACCGUAAGAAUAAGCACCGGCUAACUACGUGCGAUCAGCCGCGGAGAUACGUAUGGUGCAAGCGUGAAGCGGAAUUAAUGGGCGGAAAGCGUGCGCAGGCGGUUUUGUAAGACAGAGGUGGAAUCCCCGGGCUCAACCUGGGAACUGCCUUUGUGACUGAAAGGCUAGAGUACGGCAGAGGGGGGUGGAAUUGCGCGUGGAGCAGUGAAAUGCGUAGAUAUGCCGAGGAACACCGAUGGCGAAGGCAACCCCCUGGGCCUGUACUGACGCUCAGGCACGAAAGCGUGGGGAGCAAACAG